ensembl:lncRNA
GGAAAGAAAGGCAUUGUGGUCUCUGUGGUUUGGUGACAAUGAAAUAAAGCCAAACGACAUGUUGUAGGAGUAUUAUUGGAACAGCAAACAACUGGCGCUCGCGUGUGAAUCCAGUCCGUUCAUCUGCGCGCGCCGCCUGGUGUCUUCCAAAGGCGCGAGCGCUUUAAGCGACUCUGGGACACAUUUUGUCAGCAACCAGCAAGCAUGGCUCUGUGGUAAUAGAAUAGCCCGUGUAAUUUGACACUUCAACUUGCCAUGCACUACGUUAGUUGAUUCAGACAGUCACACUAACGAAACGCCGUGCGCUUUUCUCUCACUGUUUGUGAAGUGUGAGGAGAGAAAACAGAUCGCAACUUCAAAUCCAGGAGAUUUUCGGCGCAGUGCUGUGAUUGGACCUGAAAGUGCGGUGGACCCUAGUGUAGACGGGAGCUUGCAGAGGGACCUUCCCCACGGACUAUAUGAAGGGAAGGGAGGGGAGGGGGAGGGGGGGCUGCUGACGUUACUCCCAGCUUGCAGAACACACAGAGACAAGAACUUUAAUGGCUUCCAGGUAGAGAGAAAGAGGCAGCAGUCAAGAUGAACUCGAUUCCUUCGAUGGACAGGCACAUACAGCAGACCAAUGACAGGCUGCUGUGCAUCAAACAGCACUUACAGAAUCCGGCCAAUUUCCAGACAGCGGCCACGGAGCUACUGGACUGGUGUGGAGACCCACGAGCCUUCCAGCGGCCAUUUGAGCAAAGCCUUAUGGGAUGCUUGACGGUUGUAAGUCGUGUGGCAGCACAGCAGGGUUUUGACUUGGACCUCGGCUAUCGGCUCCUGGCCGUGUGUGCGGCAAACCGCGACAAGUUCACCCCUAAGUCGGCAGAAACCACCACCUGCAGGAGAUGUCAGAGUGACACAGCUCUCCUGUCGUCCUGGUGCGAGGAGCUGGGACGGCUGCUCUUGUUGCGGCAUCAGAAGAAUCGUCAGAGCGAUCCACCGGGCAAAGUACCCUUGCAGCCACCCAUGAACUCCAUGAAGCCCUCGCUCUCACAUGGUGAUGGGUCCUUUCCAUAUGACAGUGUUCCCUGGCAACAAAACGCUAACCAGGCCCCGGGUUCACUGUCGGUAGUUACGACGGUGUGGGGAGUUACCAAUACAUCACAAAGUCAGGUCUUGGGUAACCCCAUGGCCAAUACUAACAAUCCCAUGAACCCUGGAGGCAAUACACUAGGGACGAGUAUGUCAGGCAACAACCCAGGGAUCAACUCACCUCAGUUCCCUGGCCAACAACAACAGUUUUCAGCCAAAGGGGGAUCCAACCAGGCCUACAUGCAGCAAAGCAUGUAUGGGCGUCCAGGGCACCCGGGAGGAGGAGGCUUUGGUGGAAGUUACCCAGGUGGGCCAAAUGCUCCGGGUGGCAUAGGCAUGCCCCCCCAUACACGACCGCCCUCUGAUUUCACCCAACCUGCUGCUGCUGCCGCCGCCGCCGCCGUCGCUGCUGCCGCCGCCACCGCAACAGCUACUGCCACAGCAACCGUGGCAGCCCUGCAAGAGACCAAUAAAGACAUGAACCAGUAUAACCAGAUGGGGCCUACGCAAGGCUACAAUAACCAGUUCAUGAACCAGCCAGGGCCCCGUGGACCCCCGUCCAUGGCUGGAGGCAUGAACCCAGCUGGUAUGGGUGGUGGCAUGAAUAGCUCCAACAUGAGUGGCCCACCAAUGGGUAUGAACCAGCCCAGAGGCCCAGGAAUGGGGCCCUUCGGUGGCCACGGCCAAAGGAUGCCUCAACAGGGUUACCCUGGACCCAGACCUCAGUCCAUGCCCAUGCAGGGCACCAAGAGGCACUAUCCAGGAGAGGUAAGACCACCAAUGCAGUUUGGACCCAACGGCCAGUUUCCCAACCAGCAAGGGCAGUACCCUAACCCAAACGCUUCUAGAGCCCUUCCUUCACCCAAUUACCCUGGCCAAAGGAUGCCAGGACAACAGGGCUCUGGCCAGUACCCCCCUACUGGGGUAGCCAUGGGCCAAUACUAUAAGGUAAAUUCAUAUUGCUUGGUCUUUCCUCCUCGGCAGGUGGUGAACUACCCACACUCGCCAGUUCCUGGGAACCCCACGCCACCCAUGACCCCUGGAAGUAGUAUACCAUACAUGUCGCCCAGUCAAGAUGUCAAGCCCCCGUUUCCUCCAGACAUGAAGCCAAACAUGACGUCUUUGCCUCCACCUCCAACCAACCCCAAUGAGGAGCUGCGUUUGACGUUCCCAGUGAGAGACGGAGUGGUGCUGGAGCCCUUUAGAUUAGAGCACAACCUGGCCGUCAGUAACCACGUCUUCCAUCUGCGCCCCUCCGUCCACCAGACGCUUAUGUGGAGAUCUGAUCUGGAGCUGCAGUUUAAGUGCUAUCAUCAUGAGGACCGACAAAUGAACACCAAUUGGCCCGCAUCCGUCCAAGUCAGCGUCAAUGCCACCCCCCUCACUAUUGAGAGGGGCGACAAUAAAACAUCCCACAAACCCCUGCAUCUAAAGCAUGUGUGUCAGCCAGGGAGAAACACCAUCCAGAUUACGGUCACAGCCUGCUGUUGUUCGCACUUGUUCGUGCUGCAGCUGGUCCAUAGGCCUUCGGUGCGAUCGGUCCUGCAAGGGCUCCUCAAGAAGAGGCUCCUUCCUGCCGAACAUUGCAUUACCAAAAUUAAAAGAAACUUCAGUAGCGUAGCAGCGUCCUCUGGGAAUGCCACACUAAAUGGAGAGGAUGGAGUAGAGCAGACAGCCAUCAAAGUGUCCCUCAAGUGUCCAAUCACAUUCCGACGGAUCCAGCUCCCUGCUAGGGGACAUGACUGCAAACACGUGCAGUGCUUUGACUUAGAGUCCUAUCUUCAGCUCAACUGUGAGAGAGGAACGUGGAGAUGUCCUGUAUGCAAUAAAACAGCAUUAUUGGAAGGGCUGGAGGUGGAUCAGUACAUGUGGGGAAUUCUCAAUGCGAUCCAAAAUUCGGAGUUUGAAGAGGUCACCAUCGACCCUACGUGUAGUUGGAGGCCGGUGCCCAUAAAGUCAGACAUUCAUAUAAAGGAGGACCCAGAUGGCCCUCUGGCCAAGCGUUUUAAGACCAUGAGUCCCAGUCAAAUGAUCAUGCCUAAUGUGUUGGAUAUGAUCGCCCAGCUGGGUCCCGGCCCUUCACCCUACACCCCCCUCCCCCCUCAGCACGGAGGAAAUAAUGGCGAAUAUGGGGGCCAUGGUAGAGGUCAGCACCUGAUCAGAUUCUCUGUUCUUUCCUUUCUGUCUCUUCUGCCAGAACUGGCGAACCCAGACGAGUUGCUGUCAUACUUAGACCCUCCUGACCUCCCAAGCAGCAGCAAUGACGAUCUGCUUUCCCUUUUUGAGAACAACUGA